rnacentral:rRNA from 1 species
GUACUUACUCCUACGGGAGGCAGCAGUGGGGAAUAUUGGACAAUGGGCGAAAGCCUGAUCCAGCAAUGCCGCGUGAGUGAUGAAGGCCUUAGGGUUGUAAAGCUCUUUUACCCGGGAUGAUAAUGACAGUACCGGGAGAAUAAGCCCCGGCUAACUCCGUGCCAGCAGCCGCGGUAAUACGGAGGGGGCUAGCGUUGUUCGGAAUUACUGGGCGUAAAGCGCACGUAGGCGGCUUUGUAAGUUAGAGGUGAAAGCCCGGAGCUCAACUCCGGAACUGCCUUUAAGACUGCAUCGCUUGAACGUCGGAGAGGUAAGUGGAAUUCCGAGUGUAGAGGUGAAAUUCGUAGAUAUUCGGAAGAACACCAGUGGCGAAGGCGACUUACUGGACGACUGUUGACGCUGAGGUGCGAAAGCGUGGGGAGCAAACAGGAUUAGAUACCCCAGUAGUCCAGGCAU